CCCUUAGCAGUUGCAGUACCUGGUAAAGUGGCCCUUAAACCCUGCCUGGGUAACACAAUAGAUCUUGCUUUGAAAGUGUAGGUUUAGUAGAACUGACGCUGCUAAGGAUGUAAAAGCAGAAGAACUGGCCCUGCUCCUUGCUCAUAAUUACAAGGGCUGAACAAGCCAGGAUAAUGCAGGAGAGCUCACCCUGGUGGUGAGGACAAGGGAGAGCUGAUUGGCUGACCAACCUUGCAACUACCCAAGCCUGGAACCACAGUUAUGAGUUGGCUCAGCCCAACAUCCACCCCAUCUGUGGUCUGCUGGAGCAUGUGAAGGGGUUAGUCCUGCAGACACAAAGCUGCAGGAUCUCCAUGACACAGGACAACAGGAUAACCACGAGGAGUUCCACCCCAGGUCCUCAGACUCCAUCUGGCUCCAGGACAGAGAUGCUCAGGAAUGCUGUGUCCCACCUGAGAAGGAAGCAGUGGAGGGGCCUGCACACUGCAUUCAUUACUGUCAGCUCAUCUGCCCAGCCUUGCACCCCAAGAGAGGGCAGCAGAUAUAUGCCUGCGGGGCUGACACCGGUGAGGAAUGGAGAGGCAUGCAGGACACCGGGUCCACAAGCAUCGGGUACCUGGAUGUCCAUGGAGACUCUGAGAAGAAACAAGAGGUGACUGUCAGUUGGUAGGGCAGGCCGUGGUGAGCACAGAGAUAAACACGAUCCUUGCUGGAUGUUCUCAGGUCAGGGAAGCUCAGCAAAGAAUCCAGUCUCCAUCCUUCCCCAUCACACAUGACCUUCAGGCGUGAGGCAGUGAUUGACCUCAAGAUGCCCUCAACUCACUUUUGAAACUUUCACAUCUCUGCUCUGAAAGAUAAGGGAUUGUCAUUCUUUAGACUUUUACUAUUAGCUAAGGGCUGGGUGGUCUUAGUGGUACCUCAGCAUCCUAUAUACCUGGCCAGCGCUUUAUAAUACAAAGCCACCUUCCUAGAUGAUGUAUUUAUUCUUAACUUACUAACUUUAGAGAAGUAGGUGUAAUCGAGCCCAAGAUUUAUCCUUGGGACCCCAUAAGAUGUUGUUUGUCAUUUAACCCUCUUCCAGCCUCCUUGGGUAUCCACACACCUAUGGUACAUAUACAAGACAUGCACACAUACAUAUAAAUAAAAAUAAAAAUGAAAUCUUAAAAAGAAAAGUAUCCUCUUAUUAGCUUUGGCCUCUCUCUUCCUCCCUCCCUCCCUGCCC
rnacentral:lncRNA from 1 species